AGCAGUAGCCGCGGUAAAACAGAGGGUGCGAGCGUUAAUCGUAUUUACUGGGCGUAAAGCGUGCGUAGGCGGCUUUUUAAGUCGGAUGUGAAAUCCCUGAGCUUAACUUAGGAAUUGCAUUCGAUACUGGGAAGCUAGAGUAUGGGAGAGGAUGGUAGAAUUCCAGGUGUAGCGGUGAAAUGCGUAGAGAUCUGGAGGAAUACCGAUGGCGAAGGCAGCCAUCUGGCCUAAUACUGACGCUGAGGUACGAAAGCAUGGGGAGCAAACAGGAUUAGAUACCCCCGUAGUCCCUGUCUCUCAUAC
rnacentral:rRNA from 1 species